ACGCCACGGCACUCUAGCUGGGGCAACAGAGUGAGACUCCAAAAAGAAAAAGAAAGUGAAACCUUUCCUAAUUCUCCACCCUAAGUUGAUGUACCACAUUCUAGACUUUUCCCUCUGCACAGGUGAGCAUUUAUUUCUAAAUUUUUACAAACGUGGGAUGAUGCCCUACAUGCUAGCAACUUGCUCAGUUUCGGUACGCUGUGGGUGUCCCUCCACGCCGGCACCUCCCGCCCGGCUCUCCCUCCCGAGCGGCUGCCAGCUGUCCCGCAGCACGGGAGCCGCCUCCCUGAGAGGGACACCCAGCUAUUCCUGCCUCCCCGCCCCUCCCGGCAAGGCUCCAUGAACAUCCUCCUACUCAUGCCGUCAGGGACACCUGAGGGCAUUUCUGCAGGACGAACCCCUGCCUGUGGAAUUGCAGGCAUGACGGCACAUUUGACAAGCUGUCACCUCACUGCCAAAUUGCCCUCUCGUUAUUUUGAGAAUUAACCCCAAAGAGACGAAGGGGAACACAUAACCCCUUCCCCUGCCUUCCCCUCUUUGGGGACUCUCUUCUUGAACCAGGUGGCUGUGGGUGGCCACUGUGACGUCACAGGUGUGGGGGAGGGGGAGGGCCAAGCACACCGUGUCACUGCCCUGCCAGGACCUCAGGGGACUGGACGUCCUUUUGUGAUUCUCCGGGGAUCAUCUCUCGGCCAGAGGCCACACCCAGCAGAACUGGGGCAGCCGGCAGGGAGAGGCCGGGCGUCACUUUAAAGAUCGCAACACAAUUCCACGAGUUUAGAAUUGGAAAAAGACAAUAAGAGAGUUUCAUCAUCCGAACCAUUUGUUUGCCAUUCCUGUAUUCAUUCAACAGAGAUCUGGGUUCCUUUCCUUUUAUAGUUCUCAGCACUGGGGUGGCCACAGCGAACGAAGUCCCUGGCCUCUCUGAACUGUCAUUCUCCUUGUGGGGGAGGGGGCACAGAUGUCACACGAUAAGUAUCAGUGAGUGGCAAGUGCUGUAUUAUUUAGGGUAACAGCCAGCUGCUGCAAUAAACGCACCCCAACACUUCAGGCUCCGUGACCCUAGCCAAGGCCGAGUGUCCCCAGGGCUCAGCUCUGGAUCUUCCUCCUCCCAGGACUCAUGACUUAUUUCUGGGAUGAUCUGACCAGGGCCCGUCCCCUCCGCUGGGCCUAGAGUUCCCAGGCUCGUUUCUUCCUCUGUGGCCACAGCGGCCCCCUCGCAGUCCCAGGCUUUCCUCGUCCCCGAACAGACAGAGACUCUCACCAUCCAGGUGUCAGCUCACUGUCCCCUCCCGUGUGCGGCCGCCACCGGGCCUUGUGUUCUCCUGGGCACGUGUGGCGGGGGGCGAGAGGAACCCCAAAGUGUCACAGGCCCUGUCCACAGGCGGGGACUUGCCUACAAGCGAGGGGGGCGGGCGUCAUGGGGCCAGUGACGUGGGAAUAGAAGUGGAGCCUGUCACUGCAGGGCCGAGGCCGUCACUGAUUGCUCUCCCUCCGUCCAGUGGCUGCACGUGGACGCUCGGGACACGCUGGGAGCCACGUGGCCAAGAAGGCAGAGCUGCGGUCGGCCGGGGUCCCCGAAUGGCUGUGUGGACACGGCCACUGGCUCCCUCCUGCUGGAACACUCGCACGGGACAGGGGUGGCUCCGGCUUAGCACUCAGCUCUCGGCUCAAAGGUCACCUCCUCCAAAAGGCAUCUCCCCAGGCCCUCCAGAAACCUUCCAGUCAUUCCCUGUCUCCUCGACGGAGUCUCCCCGCAUUUGUGAGAGGUUUCAGUCUCUACCCAGUCCCUUCGGCAGGGAGCUUGGAGCAGUCCACAGACCGCACCACCAUCCUGGGCAGCCCUGAUCUUGGACUAGGAGGCAACGUUGAGGGUGAAAAGCAUUUGCUGAAGGCAGAGCUGAAAGCUGAAAGAAGCCUGGAUCUUUGAUAAAGAAUCACUCGAGAGCAGCGGACAGACACGACGGCAUCACCCCUCAAUACUCCGGCGGGUGUACCCCCCGACGAGGGCACUCUAACACCGCCCACAUCACCUCUGACUUCUUAAGGAAGACAUAAAACUCCUUCCCAAGUGAC